AGUAAAUGCAAAUUACAUAUCAAAAUCUGUUAGGAAGUCCUUAGUUUUUGACUUGUUAAUAUUUUUCAAAAUUUGUGAUAAUUUUGAUAUAAACCCCAUAGCUUGGUCUUAGAAUGAUAUCUUUGCAAAACUUCCUAUAGAAAAAAGGUAAUAACAUAGGGACAUGAAUACAGGUCAGAUAUAUAGCCCGUUAAUCGUGCAUUAAAAACGUCUGCCCAUAUUAAAAAUACUUCCUGUAAGAAUGUCUUUCUAUAUAAUAAAAUUGCUCCAUUUUUGCAUAGUUUUUGAAAGAAAUAUAUAAUGUUAACUGCACUAUGCGAAAAUAGUAUGCCUUGCUGUUGCAACAGACUAAUGGUGUUCAUGUCAAUCAUUGUUAAUUUAACGUGCAAAAGCGGAGCUUAAUUAGUUGCUUUGACGGACAUGUGGGUUGGAUUUAUUAACAUGACAAUUAAUAAACUAUUACAAUUGAACAAUCAGGGGGA
rnacentral:lncRNA from 1 species